rnacentral:rRNA from 1 species
GACGAACGCUGGCGGCGUGCUUAACACAUGCAAGUCGAACGGAAAGGCCCCCACCUUGGUGGGGGUGCUCGAGUGGCGAACGGGUGAGUAACACGUGGGUGAUCUGCCCUGUACUUCGGGAUAAGCUUGGGAAACUGGGUCUAAUACCGGAUAGGACCAUGGUUUAGUGUCUCAUGGUGGAAAAAUUAUUGUUUUGGUUCAGGAUGAGCUCGCGGCCUAUCAGCUUGUUGGUGGGGUAAUGGCCUACCAAGGCGUCGACGGGUAGCCGGCCUGAGAGGGUGGACGGCCACAUUGGGACUGAGAUACGGCCCAGACUCCUACGGGAGGCAGCAGUGGGGAAUAUUGCACAAUGGGCGCAAGCCUGAUGCAGCGACGCCGCGUGGGGGAUGACGGCCUUCGGGUUGUAAACUCCUUUCGUUAGGGACGAAGCCACACCUUUUUUGGGUGUGGUGACGGUACCUUUGUUAAGAAGCACCGGCUAACUACGUG